rnacentral:misc_RNA from 1 species
AAGACUAUAGACCUGCGGAGUACCUGCGGAAGGAUCAUUACAAGUGACCCCGGUCUAACCACCGGGAUGUUCAUAACCCUUUGUUGUCCGACUCUGUUGCCUCCGGGGCGACCCUGCCUUCGGGCGGGGGCUCCGGGUGGACACUUCAAACUCUUGCGUAACUUUGCAGUCUGAGUAAACUUAAUUAAUAAAUUAAAACUUUUAACAACGGAUCUCU